CACGUAGGGUGCGAGCGUUGUCCGGAAUUAUUGGGCGUAAAGAGCUCGUAGGCGGUGUGUCGCGUCGGCCGUGAAAACCGGGGGCUUAACCCUCGGCGUGCGGGCGAUACGGGCAGACUUGAGUACUGCAGGGGAGACUGGAAUUCCUGGUGUAGCGGUGGAAUGCGCAGAUAUCAGGAGGAACACCGGUGGCGAAGGCGGGUCUCUGGGCAGUAACUGACGCUGAGGAGCGAAGGCGUGGGGAGCGAACAGG
rnacentral:rRNA from 1 species